GAUGAACGCUGGCGGCGUGCCUAAUACAUGCAAGUCGAGCGAAGCGGGGACGGGUGAGUAACACGUGGAUAACCCCCUAUAAGACUGGGAGAACUUCGGGAAACCGGAGCUAAACCCGACACUUAUAGAUGGAUCUCCGCUGCAUUAGCUAGUUGGUAAGGUAACGGCUUACCAGGUCAACGAUGAAUAGCAGACCUGCGAGGGUUAUCGGCCACACUGGAACUGAGACACGGUCCAGCCUCCUACGGGAGGCAGCAGUGGGGAAUCUUCCGCAAUGGGCGAAAGCCUGACGGAGCAACGCCGCGUGAGUGAUGAGGGUCUUCGGGUCGUAAACCUCUGUUAUUAGGGAAGCGUUACCUGAUCAGAAAGCCACGGCUAACUACGUGCCAGCAGCCGCGGUAAUUC
rnacentral:rRNA from 1 species